GCAUGUGGUGGAUGCCUUGGCGAUCACAGGCGAUGAAGGACGUGUAAGCCUGCGAAAAGCGUGGGGGAGCUGGCAAUAGAGCAUUGAUCCCACGAUGUCCGAAUGGGGAAACCCACCCCGCAAGGGGUAUCCCAGACUCAAUACAUAGGUCUGAGGAGGCGAACGCGGCGAACUGAAACAUCUAAGUAGCCGCAGGAAAAGAAUCAAACCGAGAUUCCGUAAGUAGUGGCGAGCGAACACGGAACAGCCUGCACGACUAAACCAUCAGCUAAGCAAAACGGUCUGGAAAGUCCGACGAUACAGGGUGAUAGUCCCGUAUGCGAAUAGCCGGUGGCGGGUCUGAGCGUGCGACAAGUAGGCGGGACACGAGAAAUCCUGUCUGAAGAUGGGGGACCAUCCUCCAAGGCUAAAUACUCGUGAUCGACCGAUA
rnacentral:rRNA from 1 species